CUGAGCCUGCCUGCGGCUCUCAGCUGAGGCUCCCCGGAGAACCCCAGAGCCGCAGAGCGCCGGGGCCAUUCGGCGUCCUCUCCCGCCUCUGCCGACUCCCGUGCCAACGCCGCAUGGCGUCCCUGCUGCACCUGGAGGCACGUGCUCGUAUCUGACGGUCCUCCAGAGCUUGCGUGCGCCUGGCAGAUACAGUGUGGCUCCCGCGUGUCUUCUUUUCCCUUCACACUCAGUGACGGCCGGGCCGGGAAACCGUGCUUCUCUCUAUCGAUGGCGUUAUCCAGACGCUUCACAUCUUUGCUGGUGGAAGCUGGAGCCGUCCGUGCGCAGAGAGUUGCUGGAGUGGGACACUGGUCAUCUGUGGCUUUCUGUCUUCUGAAGCUAUGUUUUGGUUGCAUAUAUGUUCCGUUUUUCUGAUUUGUAGUCAUCUCACAAGUGCUGGCAUUCCUCUUUGUCCCUGGUGAUGCUAUUACUUUAAAAUGGUUGUCAUGGGGGCGCCUGGGUGGCUCAGUGGGUUAAGUGUCUGCCUUCGGCUCAGGUCAGGAUCUCAGGGUCCCGGGAUAGAGCCCCGCAUUGGGCUUCUUGCUCAGCGGGGAGCCUACUUCUCCCUCUGCCUCUGCCCCUCCCCUGCUCAUGCUCUCUCUCUCUCUCUGACAAAUAAAUAAAUAAAAUCUUUAAAAAAUAAAUUAAAA
rnacentral:lncRNA from 1 species